UAGAAGAAUCUGUUAAGCUCAGGAGGGAUAGCGCCAUGGAUGAUCUUUUUGAUAGUAAUUACUUGAUCCUCAUUAGCGCUAUCCAUCCUGAGUUUCAUCGGUUCUUCUU
rnacentral:pre_miRNA from 1 species